rnacentral:rRNA from 1 species
CUACGUAUGUCGCAAGCGUUAUCCGGAAUUAUUGGGCGUAAAGCGAGUCUAGGCGGCUUGUUAAGUCAGAUGUGAAAAUGCGGGGCUCAACUCCGUAUUGCGUUUGAAACUGGCAGGCUAGAGUACUGGAGAGGUGGGCGGAACUACAAGUGUAGAGGUGAAAUUCGUAGAUAUUUGUAGGAAUGCCGAUAGUGAAGACAGCUCACUGGACAGAUUCUGACGCUAAAGCUCGAAAGCGUGGGGAGCGAACAGGAUUAGAAACCCGGGUAGUCC